UUCGCAGGAAAUAUGGCAGCUAUGAUGAAUUUAUACAAUAACAUACAACUUCGCUUAGAUCCAUAUUCAGAUCCUUUUAGAGGUGAAUUAAUGGAAGUUCUUGAACCUUUUAUCAAAAGUCCUUCUCCGAAUUCAACACCAUCACCUUCUUCUUCUUCUUCUUUCCAUUCUUUCUACAAUGAUGGUUGUUCAACAUCGAUGACCCAUGGAUUUACCAACGGGUUAUCGAAUAGCCAGAACUUCAUAGGCUUUGUUCAACAACCAUCUUCUUCUUCUCUUCUUGGUCUUAACCAUUUGACCCCAUCUCAAAUCAACCAGAUCCAAGCACAAAUCCAACACCAAAACUUUACCUUGCAACAACAUCAACAACAGCAACGUCUCAGUAACACUCUUAGCUUCCUCAGUCCGAAGCCAAUCCCUAUGAAGCACGUGGGUAAUACUCCUUCAAAACCCACGAAGCUAUACAGAGGGGUGAGGCAAAGGCACUGGGGAAAAUGGGUUGCUGAGAUCAGACUCCCUAAGAAUCGAACCAGGCUUUGGCUUGGUACCUUUGAUACAGCAGAAGAAGCUGCUUUGGCUUAUGACAAAGCUGCUUAUAAGCUUCGUGGUGACUUUGCUAGGCUUAAUUUCCCGAAUCUCAAACACCAAGGUUCAUGUAUUGGUGUCGGUGAGUUUGGUGAGUAUAAACCUCUUCCUUCCUCGGUUGAUGCUAAACUUCAAGCUAUUUGUGAAGGUUUAGCUGAGAUGCAGAAACAGGGGAAGUCAGAGAAGCCUAAAAAAACACCAGCGGCUCGGUCCAAAGCUGCGUCGAAGGUGGUACCUUCGCCGGAGACGGUGGAGAAGUCUGUUGAUGAUUUGGAGAAGGGUUCUGGUUCAGUUUCAGAAGGGUGUUGUAAGGUUGAAGCUUCGAUUUCUCCGGUGAUGACCGAGACCGAGAGUGAAGGUUCUUCACCACUUUCAGUUCUUACUUUUGGUGAUGUUGGUGAACCACAGUGGGAAGGUGAUUCGGAAAAUUUUAAUUUGCUGAAGUACCCCUCUUAUGAGAUUGAUUGGGAUUCUCUGUGAAGUUUAGUGUCCUUAUAUGUAAUUUUUUUAUAAAUUUUCUAGUGAAGAUUCUCAUGUCAUGCAUGUAACUAGAUUUUAGUUUCUUAGAAAAGUGGUUACUGCAAUGGAAUUUUUGACAAUUGCAGUGCUACUACUUUAAGUAUAUUAUUGUAAAAUCUCUUGUUACCUUGUUCACAGCUGGUUUUUUUCUUGCUUGGCCGGGAGAAGAGAAGACACUUGUUAUGUUUAUCAGUGUUCAUAUUUGUAGCUGAAUCUAUUUAUGAAAUAUAAGUAUAAAUAUUGUAGUAGUGUAGUGUUUUGUUUCUAGUUAUGUUGUUCUAUUUGUUAGAUCUACAAUCAUAUCUUCGAUGGAGUUAAAAAAAAUCAUCUGAACUCACUAUCUCAUUAUUUUGGAGAUUAUUUCCAAUACAAAUUGUCUUAAAUGGAUGUGCGCAGAGUUGGCCAACUGUGCCGAUCCCCAAUAAUUGCAUGAUACUGUUAAAUUAACUCCUCCUACCUACCUCGACAAUAUCAAAUCUAACCAGUUAAAUUUAAGAGUGAAAUUUUAAACAAUGCUAGUAUAAAUAUAAAAUUUAUACGGUCUCAUCUUGAUCUUAACAAUUUUUUAAGCAGUCAAAUAUAGCCGGCCUCUUAACAAUUAGCCUCAUAUAUUAUUGGAUUUGCCUCUGUCCGAAGGGAUCCAAAAUCGCACCAUUUUGAACACUCCAUGGACUUGCCUAUGUCGGAAGGGAAUCCAAAAUCACACCAUUUUGAAUAAAAAGUAUGGUUUGAAGAUGUAUAUUUAUAUAUUAUUUGGAUGUAUUUGAAGAUGCAUCUCUAAAAUAUCUCUUGUAUAUAUUUAUGAUGUUUUUAUUCACUGAACUAUUUUAUUUAGAGACUUAAUGAUGUUUCCAGAGAUUCAUCUUCAAAAAUAUUAAGCGGAGAUUUGGAUAAAAUCAGUUUUUCAACAACGAAGCAUCAUUCAUGUAUUUCAUCACAUCAAAGAUUCCAAAAGAAGUUGGAAUUGUAAGUAAAAUUCAUUCAUUUCAUCCCUCAUUCCUUGCAUUAAUGUGAUUUUUGAGUUGAAAAUAUGAACUUCGAGUCCAUAUAUGUAUCUCUGGACAAAGUUUGGUGUGGUACAAAUAUGGAUCUCCGUCUUUGCCUGAUACUUUGAAUCUUAAAAUAUGUUUUUUUAUGUUAUUUGUUGUAUUAGAUAUGGUGCAUUUGAAUAUAUUUUCCAAAGCUAUUGUGACCAUGAAUGUUAAACUAUAUGAAGUGAACGAUUAUGUUAGACCAAAUGAUGUUAAAUCGAUUGAUCGACCCGUUGUUGUCGAGGUAGAUAUUCGUGCAUAAUUUACAAAUAAGCAAGAGUUUAUGGAUCGUGAACAUAUGCUACAAUAGGUCGUAUGGAGGUUGGGAAAUUGGGGUUUGGCAUUGUAAUCGGAAGAUCCAACAAUGGUUCGAAUAAAAGACAAACAUUUGUAACAAUGAGAUGCGAAAAAAGUUGCAGUACCAACCACAAAUUAGGAAGUUGAAACGAGAUGACACUGAAUCAAGAAUAUGUGAGUAUCUGUUUAAAUUGCGCGAUUACCAUAUGGCAGAUGACACCAGGAAAUUUAAUGUGAUUUCCGGUAUACAUAAUCAUGUCUUGACUAACAAGCUAGCCAGUAAAUCCCAUUGUAUAUCGCCUUAUUCUAGAGGAAAGGGAUCUUGUUUCAGACAUGACAUUAGACAUAGUGGCGUCGAAAAACAUACUCGCAUCUUUGAAACAAAAAUGAACUCUAAAUAUUUUAAAUAUCAAGCAAAUAUACAACAUGCGUGCUCGAAACAACAAGGCAGUAUGAGGACCAAGAUUUGAGAUGCAACAACUAUUGAAGCAUUUGGAAGAUGACCACUAUGUUUCUAAGUAUAGAGUUUGUGAGGAUAAAGUCACCGUUCGAGGUAUAUUUUGGAGUCAUCCCGAUUCCAUCAAAUUGUUCAACACAUUUUCCACCGUGCUUAUAAUUGAUUCAACAUACAAAACAAACAAGUAUAUAUUUUCACUCCUAGAAAUUGGUGGUGUUACUUAUACGGAGAUGACAUAUUCAGCCGAUUUUGCAUUUUUGGAAUCCGAAAAGAGGACAAUGUUACAUGAAUUUGGAAAUGUGCAAGACUAUGUUAAAAGACCAAGAGAACAUGCCACAAGUAUUAGUCACCAAUCAUGACACCACACUGAUGAAUUCGAUUCCAAUUAUGUUUUCUACAUCGUAUGCAUCACUUUGUAAGUAUCACAUAAUAAAAAAAUGUGAGAAGUCGACAAAAACCUGCGUUUGACAAAAAAAAAAUCAAAGGUAACGAUGAAAAAAUGGUCAAACCCAGUGUCGUGGUGGAAAAGAUAGUGGAUGCAUGAAAUGGCAUAAUAAAUUCUUCCACGGAAGAAUUAUAUACCGAAUCUGUAAUACAUUUUAGGAAGGUGUGCGUGAGAUAUCCAGAUUUCAUGAAAUAUGUUAAGGGCACUAUUUUGGACAAGGUAAAAGAGAAGAUUGCUAGUGCAUGGACCGAUCAGGUUAUGUUAUUUUUCCAUUCUGCCAUUGGUCCUGGUUGUUUUUGGUUUGAACUAACAGAGUAUAUUCCAGAGAUGCAUCUCUGGAAAACUCAUUGAAUAUUGAACAGAGGGGUUUACGAAGAUGCAUCUCCAAACUUAAUUUUAAUAGAACAAGGGUUUCUCAACAAUUUCAUCUGAGGUGCGUGAAAAGGUGGGUUCGGAGACAGUUGUGACUUUUCACGGAGGUGGGGUUGCAAUCAUAAGGGUGGAAAGAGUAAUUAUCUCUUUUUAGGCAGGUAAAGACAUGCCAAUCCAACGUAUUUUGAAGAAGAAAUUUUAUUUAUGCUAUUUAAAAAAUAAUAUUUAAUUAAUAAUUAAAUCAGUUUUUUAAAUAAAUUCUUUUUAUGGUUUUAUAUAUAAUAAUAAUUUUUAUUAUUGUUCAGAGCUGGCUAAAAGUCUAAAUAGUUAAGGCCUAAUCCAUCUCAAAUUCACUCCACCUAACCAACGGUAUGAAACUAGUGCAUAAGAAAAACAAAGUACAUUAUCUAAUCUCCAUUUUUCAAUAUACUUAUCUCGAAUCUCGAUUUGACUUGGGCGUUGAAGUGCUAACUUUGCAGGUCCAUCCCAUGCCGGCAUAUUAUAGAUCAACACUACCGUUUCAAGACAUUUAAUUUUCCAAAUGCAUCUAUUUUUGGUUCCACAAUUGUAUCAUAUAUGGGAAUCGACUUCUGAUUUAUGCGAAAUUACAUUACCGGAUCAAUCUCGAUAUUAAGCCAACUCUCUAUCGGAAAUAAGAGAGUAGAGGCGGUAAAUUCGAUAGUCAUGUCAAGGUUCAUUAAUCCAUCUCUUGCAUCAAUCAUCAACCAGUUAUCACCGAUCAACGAAUUCCACAACAUUGCAUCAUUUAACACCCAUAUACAUCUUACCCACUUAGGUUCUUUAAAUAGGGUCCAUAACACCGCAGUUUUUGAGUUAUUAUUUUGACUGAUUUAUUUGUAUUUUAAUUUAUUUAUCACGUGCGAUAGUUGAAUUGAUUUGGAUGUGUGUGACCUUGAGGUGGGAGUGUAGAGAGUAAGUAGAAGUUAGUGAAGUUUAUUUAGGAUAAUUGGAAUUUAUUUUAAUAAUUAAAAUAAUACUAUUUUAUGGAAUUUAUUUAAUUAAAAUAAGAAUCUAGAGAGUUUGGGUGAAAUUUGUGAAUUAAGAGAAAUAUAGGGGAGGAAGGAGUAAGAGUAAUUGUUAGUAAGGGAGAGAAUUAUAGUUAUGACUAGAUUACCCUAGUUAUAUAAGGUUAAGAUAUAACCUAGGUUUAAGGAUUUUCCUAUCAGUGCAUGAAACGAGGAUUAGAGGCACAAAUGAGAUAUAAGGUUAGAGCUUUGGAGAGAAUGGAAGAACAAUCAGAGACCAGAAUUUUGCUAUUACUGCUAGGAAAACCAGGUAAGGGGGGAGAAUUGAUUCAAUAAUGGGUAUAUGCUUGAGGGGUAGAAUGAAGGAGUUCUUAACCUCCAUAAGGAUUCUUUGAGUCUUCAUAAAAUUCUGAUCUUGUGAAAAAUGAUUGAAUUGAUGUUUAUGUUGUUAGAUAUUAAAUUUGUGCAUUGUAAUAUGUAUGAAAUUAUGUUUUAAUUUGUGGAGGAAAGUUCACCAUUGUUGGGUGUUUGAAGGUUUGGGAAUAGCAUGAAUAUAUGAAAACCAUGAAAUAAAUGUAUUGAUUUGAUGAAUUUGGGUGUUGUUGAUGAUUAUAUAACAUGUAUAUGCUAUUAUGGGUCGAAUUUGUAUGAUUGAGACAGGAGUAUUGGAGUUCUGCAGUGAACUCCAUUUAGUAGAACAAAUUCUGCAACUUUCAAGGUAAUGACGGGCAUCACCACUGUGACGGGUAACCCGUCAUUCUGCCCAUGCUUGUGCUUCAAAUGGUCGUCAUUUGAGUGACAAUUUGGAUGUUUAGGGUUGGUGACAGGCGUCACUACUGUGACGGGUAACCUGCCAUGGGUCUGCAGUGAGUGCAAAUGCUCGUGUUGAUGAUAUUAAAUGUCAAAUUUUGACUUUUUGACUUUUCUGGAUGUUUUGGGUACUAUUAUACUAUGUUAGUUGUUGGUUUAAAUGAUGUUGGUAUGAUUUAACGAUUAAACACAAUUUUAAUUGAAUUUAAGAAGUAUUUGAUGAAUGUUGGAUAUGGUAUACAUGAGGAUGAUAUUGUGUUAAUUUGUAUGAAUUGUAAUGAUGAUAUGUUGUUGUAUUAGCAUGAAUUACGUUGUUGAAUUGUGAGUAUGUUGUUGUGGGAUGAUAGUUCGAGAGGGAAACUAUUAUCGUUGGGUCAAUGCAUAUUUUGUUUAUUGCUGGGAGGGGAAUUUAAACAUUAUGUUGUUCUUGAAUUGACGUGUUGUGACAUGCAUUCAUUAUGUCGCUGUUGUUGAUGAAAAAGGCAAGGUGCAAUUCUAAUAGGGUGGAUUAGUGACUUGUCUUGAAUCUGAGCAGGGUGGAUUAGGGAUUUGAGUAGGGUGAACCUGGUUCCUGAGUGAGCUAAUUAAUGAUGAUAUGGUACCAUAUGUGUGUAUUUGAAGUUGUUAGUCUCAUUGCAUAAUUGAAUCGAUGAAUAUGUGAUUGCAUUGUGUAUGAUGAUGGAUUGGAUGUGAGAAUAAUGUUGUGAGAUUGAUAUGGAUUGUGUAGAUGUUUGAAUUCUACUUUACAGCUUAUGCCGUUAAUUUAUUGAUGUGAAUUCUCACCCCCUUUGCUUUGAUGUUGUCCACCAUGGACAUCUUACAGAUACCGAGGAGUAGAGUUGCUACUAUGAGUGAGGAAUAACUCUUGGAGUUAUUUCCAUUUAGUUUCUUUGUUAUUUAGUGGAUAUGCUCUGAUCAUAUAACAUUGGGUCUGGGGCGUUUGUUUUACUUGUUAAAUUCGAAUUAAUGUCUUGAGGAGUUUUUAUGACGUUAUUUUGAAGUUGAGAACAAACAUAAUUUUGUCGAGUAUUUUAAUUUGAUUAUCCGCUGCUAUUUAAAUAAAGUUGAGAUGUUUUGAAGUUGGUAAUACUUUAAUCAGCGUAUAAUGCUUGUUAUAUAAGUUUUGCGGUUAGGGUGUUACAAUAGUGAUAUCAGAGCAGGUCAGUUCGUUUGGCCAGAUUUUUGCAUGAUAAUAGUUCCCUAGUAUGUAACAUGUGUGUGUACACUGUCGAUGCAUUGUUUCUUCCAUUGUAUAUUUAAUGGUGUGCAGAGUGGAUGGAAGAAAUGAUCGCGCAAUUGAUGAUGCUUUAGAGUAGGCACUACAUGGGCAAUAAAAUCAGGCUAGUGAUGAGUUCCGCGACUUGGGAAAGUUUUAGUGGAAUAAUCCACCGACGUUCAAGGGUAGGUAUGACCCAGAGGGUGCUCAUACAUGGCUGAAAGAGAUUGAAAAUAUUUUCCGAUUAAUGGCAUGUACUGAAGAGCAGAAGGUAUUGUUUGGUACUCACAUGUUGUCUGAAGAAGCUGAGGAUUGGUGGGAUAGCGCAUGCCAGAGACUAGAGGUUACUUGUACUGAGGUUACAUGGGUUAUAUUCAGACUGUAGUCUCUGGAGAAGUACUUCCUUGAGGAUGUGCGUAGCAAGAAGGAGAUUGAAUUCCUUGAGUUGAAGAAAGUAAUUCGACGGUUGCAUAGUAUGGUGUAAAGUUUGAGAAGCUAGUGAGUUAUGUACACAUUAUAAUAGUGAUGUUGACGAGGGUUCAAAAUGAAUCAAGUUUGAAAGUGGGAUGUGUAACACUCCGAUAAAAUAUGAUAAUUAUUUAAUUUAAGUUUAAUAGUAUAUUAUGAUGAUAAUAUGAAUGAGAGGGUAUUAUUUUUCAAAAUAAAAGAUAAACCAUUCAUAUAUAUUAUUAUUAUCCGCUUCUCUAAUCCCUUUCUGUUUAAUUAUCUGUUUUCAAUUUAUAUCUUUGGGUAUUGUCUUUUAAUUCACAAUUAAAAGUAACAACACUUGAAGAUUUUCGAAAGCAGCGUGUUUUCAGAAUCGAGAUUCCAGCUUUUAUGUUAACUGUAAAGUUCGUUUGAAAUUAGCCACAAAAAGGUGGAUUUGUUUUGAAUCCCCUUCAUGGCUAUUCUGUCAUUUCUUCUUAAUUCAAGGUUUGAAAGGAUUGGUCUAUUUAAAAUCCCUUCUAUAUCCCUUGUUUGAAUUUUUUUCCUUUAAUUAACCUGUUCUUCAAUCUUAGGAAAGAUUCGGUAUAAGUUUUCCAGCGAAAAAUAUGGCAGCUAUGAUGAAUUUAUACAAUUAACAUACAACUUCGCUUAGAUCCAUAUCAGAUCCUUUUAGAGGUGAAUUAAUGGAGUUCUUGAACCUUUUAUCAAAAGUCCUUCUCCGAAUUCAACACCAUCACCUUCUUCUUUCUUCUUCUUUCCAUUCUUUCUUUACCAAUGCAUGGUUGUUCAACAUCGAUGACCCAGGAUUACCACGGUUAUCGAAUAGCCAGAACUUCAUAGGCUUUGUUCAAAAACCAUCUUUUCUUCUCUUCUUGGUCUUACAUUUGACCCAUCUCAAAUCAACCAGAUCCAAAGCACAAAUCCAACACCAAAAACUUUACCUUGCAACAACAUCAACAACAGCAACGUCUCAGUAACACUCUUAGCUCCUCAGUCCGAAGCAAUCCCUAUGAAGCACGUGGGUAAUACUCCUUCAAAACC
rnacentral:lncRNA from 1 species